rnacentral:rRNA from 1 species
UACGUAGGGUGCAAGCGUUAAUCGGAAUUACUGGGCGUAAAGCGUGCGCAGGCGGUUUUGUAAGACUGUCGUGAAAUCCCCGGGCUCAACCUGGGAAUGGCGAUGGUGACUGCAAGGCUAGAGUUUGGCAGAGGGGGGUAGAAUUCCACGUGUAGCAGUGAAAUGCGUAGAUAUGUGGAGGAACACCGAUGGCGAAGGCAGCCCCCUGGGUCAAGACUGACGCUCAUGCACGAAAGCGUGGGGAGCAAACAGG